GCAAGAAACCAUCUCUCAACAUUCCCAAGUUAGAGUGUUUGCCUGAACCGGUGCCUGAAGCUGAACCAUAGUCAGAAUCUCUGACCUUCACAAGCAAACAGGAAACAUGUACAGGAUUUGAGAGGGAAAAAAAAUCAACUUUGGAUUUUGUUGAAAUGGUCAAAAACCAUAUACUAUACCUUCAAGCUGGAAAGAUAAUCCUUCAUCUUCAGGUGUCUUUUGUGGAAGACUACCAAAUGAAAGUGCCCUUUUAGAGGUAUGGAUUAGGCAGAAUCAACAGAUAAUUUACUGCACUUAAAUGGUCCCCCAGGUGAAAGAAUAUGUGACAACAUUGAGUGGCACCUUCCAUCUAAGAUUGUCACAGUAAAGAAUGUGACAGAGGAGACUGUGGAAGACACGAUGAAAAAUAGUACAGCUUUAAGUAGAGCUAAUCUCAGCAUGUUUUUGUGCACCUGAGUGACUUCAAUAAGCAUGUCUCUCAUGCAAAUUUGGAAGCAUAGUUGGUGAUUCCUAGGAGGAUUCAGACGAAAAUGAUUUUCAGGUGCCCAUGGGAAACAGUUCCCAAUGCAGUCUUCAUGGGCAUUUUUGACCAAAUGUGAACAAAAUCUCUCCUUGGAACGGGAAGAUCACUGAAAACACUUGCCAUGAAUCUAAAGUAUUUUUAGUGGCAUGAUUUUAAUUUCAUCUCUUGAAGAUUUUAUCAUCGCUGUGGAAUUUUAGAUCUCAGAGAUGACAUUUCCUAAAAGAUGUUCCAGGUAAAAGAAGCAGAAAGAACAAAAUAUAACUAUGUACUAUGUACAAAAAAAAAGGAUUUUCUCAUUUUUAGGCCCUUAUGAAACAUAUUUUCUACCUGUAUCGUUCUAGAAGAUCCUUCCAGAGUCCCAGGGAGACCUUUGCCUGCAUAUAAGUAUAGAGGUUAGAUAAAACAUGUACUCAACUAUAUGAAACAUUUUAGGCCAAGAUUUUCAAUCCCUUCUUAGAUUUCAAGAAUCCAUAUUCCCAAAGGUUGUUUUUUUCAUUCUUAUCAUUACAUCCUUUAUUAUUUUUUUGAUUCUUUAUCCUUUUCAAAGACAAAAUUCUUCAAAUUUCAACUUAAAAUGAACCAGCAAAGGAUUGAUUCUAGAAAAUUGUGACAUUGGUGAAGCUUUUCUUUGUCUCUCCUACCCUUAAGCUAUCCACUGUUACAUUUUCCUUCAAAAGCUUUAGCUAUUGAUUUCUGUAAACUUCUGGAAAUGCAAAUAAUUCAGUAUGUACAAGAAAAUGAAAGUGGAUAAAGAGGAAAUUAUAGUCUGGCAGCCAAUCAAAAAUAACCAGAAGGUAUAUUUUCCAAUGGUAAGCAAGAGGUUGUAGACUUUGAAGAUGUAAGUUCCUCGGGACUCUGAGUCAGGUAAGGGAUUGAUGUAUCCAUUGGAAGAAAUGUUCAUACCAAACAGGGCAGAUCAAUGGCACUGGCCAACCUGUCUGCCUGCCAGUUGUUUCUUCUGUGGCAUCUGAAGGUGAUAACACUAGAAAUAAAUAUCUUCUCCUUGUCCAUUCCAUUCCAGGAAGGUCUUGAUAUGAAGACAGUUUUACAGCAGGUUUCACAGUGAGUACUCUGGCUUAAGUUCAUCUUCCUGAGUAUGAGUUUGACUGCGGGGCAUGGAGAAAAAUACCUUAAGGAUUUCAGAAACCAAAGCCAGUUCGUUCAACAAAACAUAUAGCUAUCUCUAGUCUUAUAGAUACAUGUACAGAGACAUAACCCUUAGGAAAUCAGUUGACAGGAAAUUCAUAGGACAUAGGGAAAAGUAUUCAAAUCGACCAGAAUUUAGUAACCUUGUAGUAUGUUUAUUGAAUUUAUGUACAAGAUAACCUCAAACUGCAUGACAAGCAUAUGUUUAGAAUACAUAGACUUCAUGGAUUCUAUCAUUGCAUGAUUUCAUCAAACUGAAAGCUUGCAGAAAUCCUGCAGAGAAAGCAAAGGUGCCUUGCAUCUGUCAGAGGAAUUAAAUUAGCCACAUUUCCAUCUGAUGAAUAUAUCAAAGUGCCUAUUUCUGACUUCUCUGAAUAUCAGCUGUGGACAGUGAUUAAUUCCUGGCCUCUACUUCCACUCUUCCCAUAAGAUGUGGAGGGACAGAGUCUUUGCCCACUGUAAUGUAAGAGGCAAACACCAUGGGUCAAGUUGCAGCAAGAGUGAUGGUAAAUGCAUGGGAAUGACUCAAUGCUGGAUUAAAACAAAGAAUGCAAUUCAUGGAAACCUCUCAAAUGUACAUGUUGGGAUGUGCUGAGCAGUCGACUUGAGUGGAUCUGUAGCAGCAUGUGAAGGGUUUACAUAAAUGUGAACUCAUGCCCAGACCACAAAUGUGACUUGCAAAUUUACAGCCCGGAAUCAGGGAAGGUGCACACAGAAGCAAAAACAAUUGACAGUAAACAAAAACCAUUAGUACCCUUGGCUAAUGUUAAAUAUUUAGUGAACUUUAAUCCUGUGGUGCUGGAAGGAGCCUGGGUGAAUAGUCCUCUUGAGUUGAAUUGUUAGGAAGGCAAGCCCAUGGCCAUCCAUACUUGACAGUAAAAAGAUUACAUUGUUGCAAAUGGGGUGGUAACUUGGAGUCAAUGCAAAUCAAAGAGUUCAGGAAGGUAGACAGAAAUGGUAGGUUGAAUCUGUCUGCUUCCUAGGUGCCUAUUUGAUGUUUCCGCCUCUGAAUGGCUUGCCCACACCUGGAAAUUCAGAUAGAUUUCUUCUCCUUUAGCCCAAGCCCUCUCUUAGGAAUCUUCUGCUUCUUAACUCAGCCAUGUGGUAACUCUCCCAGCCACCUUCUCCCUUCCCAUAAUUUAAGCAUUUAUUCAGUCAUGUGCAUUCCUUCUCCACUGUGCUUCUGGAAUUGAUCACCUCUUUCCUUUCUCAAGUUCAAGUACUUAUUAUCUCUCACCUGAAUUUUUGCCCUAGGCUCUGAAGUGGUCUACUCAUCUCUAUGUUCUUCUCUUACUCCUCCAAUCAACUCUGUGGAUUUGACACUUCAACUACCUAAAAGACAUAAUAGUUACAAUACUCCUGCAAUCACGAAACUUCAAUGGCUGCUUGCAACCUUUCAUUUCAAGUAAAAUUUCUGCAGCCUAGCACUUAAAACCUUUUAGCUAUUUUUCCAAUCAUAUUCUCCAUUAAUCUCUAAAAGUAGUUAUACUCUGGAGCAGGGUUUCUCAGUUUACUCACUAUUGACACUUUAGCCUAGAUAAUUCUUUGCAGAGGAGGCUGUCCUGUGCAUUGUAGACUAUUCAGCAGAAUCUCUGGUCUUUAUUCAACCUUUUCCAGUUGUGACAAGCAAAAAUAUCACUGGAUAUUUGUCAAAUGUUCCCAGGGAGUAAAAUUCUUGCCCUAGAAAAAAUAGCUCUGUUGUGGUCAUCAAAAUACUACUUAGGUUUCUGGUGUCCGUGUGUGUGCCUGCAGUUGGCCUUGUGUUUAGAAUGUCUUCCCUACAGCCUCUACCUGUUAAAAUCAUAACCACUAUUUCUGCUUUACCUCAACAGCUUCCUAUAACCAGACUCCUUUCAUUGUUUUAAUCAGUAUCCAUGAAUACAAGUAUUUUCCUUCAACUUUGGAUCAUCAUCACACUUGAAAUAAUGCUUAAACUGUUUGUCUUAAUCUUGACUCUUGUCAUUAGUGUGGCUGCUAAAUGUAAAUACCGAAUGAGGUAAGUGUGGUGGUACAUGUCUUUAAUCACAGCACUUGGGAAGCUAAGGCAUGAGAAUCUAGAAUUUAAGGUCUAUAUAUUGAGACAUUUUCUCAAAGAAAUGAAUAAAUAAACACAGAAACAGAUUUCUGGCCACUGUU